CUGGCAAAGCACAAAGGAAUUUUCAGGGGUCAGGAGCUGUGCUCAUAGGACAGUGCCUAUAAAUCAUAGGCAUUACUCAACAGGUGAAAUAACAAUGUAUAUUAGACAGCAGUUAAUGUUGCACUUCUAAAUGAUAGUGAAUGAUCAAACUAAAAUAAAAGGAACAGUAAUAAGGUUAUUGUGUGCUGGACCAAGAAGAGCAAAGUUCAGCUGCAUCAUGAGAUGAAUGGAUUAUUGCUUCCCAAACCAGACCUUUUUGUAGCAGUUGAAGUGGAAACGGAACAAAUAAAGUCUCAUUGAAAAGAAGAGGUAUUUUGAGGAAGGCAUCCAUUUGCAACCAUGCUGCCCCUGCGAAAGGCUGUGCUCAUUUGUCUGCAGCUUCUUUGGAAGCCUGAACCUCAUGCUGGGACUGCACACACAGCUACACCAUACCGAGGCCUGCUGAGGAAACCACGCAGCUAGACAAGGACAGCUUCUCUUUUAGAUGAGUGGAUGUGAAGAUGCAAUGCACAUUUUUGUGAACUAAUGAGAUGAGUAGCUUCCAUUUCAAAUCUACUCAAAAUAUUUAGAGUUUUUUUCCUUUGUUAUUUUAACACAAGCUGCUUCUUUUCCCUUUUUCCUUUUCCCUUUUUCCUUUUUGCUUUACCCUUUUCUCCUUUUUCUGUUUCCCUGUUUCUCUUUUCCCUUUUCCUUUUUCCUUUUCCUUUUCUUUUUUUAAUGCUUCACUGGCAUAAUUAAACCCUAAAUGCAUUGGACCAGUGAUCAGGACAACCAGAAAAUCAAAGUAACAUAGACCAGGCUACUACCACUGUACAGGCUGUCCAAGGCCACGUGCCUAUGAACAGAUCUCUCAGUGGUGAUUUUAUACUGCAAGCUCUGUCCUAAUACAGCUACCUGGCCUCCAGAUGGGAGUUAUCUUAUUUCUGGCCAGUUCAAGCAGACAUAAAGGAAUUUGGGUCUUCCAUGUCACUGGUUUUAAUGGGUGGGGUUUCUUAUCUCUGUCAAAGAAGGCAUAUACUGCUGUUCCAAGCAGAAUUUGCUCUGUAUUUGAUAGGCACAAGCUGCACAGUGGAACAGACAGCAAGUGCUGAGCAGUGCUUAGCAUUUAGAGAGACAGAUCAGGAGGGUGUUGAGUCCAUCAGGUCUGUGCUUUUACACUGGCACAGCUAUGCUGUCAGGGAAGCAGGUUUUUAAUUCACGGAGUUCCUUUGCCUUCAUGGUGAGGAAAGAAAAACCGUGUUUGGGUGUUUGCCUUUGAUUUCACAAGGACCACACUUUCACUCAUAAUUUCACUCCAAAGAGUAAUAUUGUUCUGCUCCAGUAGGAUGCUGGCUCCUAUUUAACUUUCAGACCUUGUCUUCAGCUGCCACAUUCUCAUGAAUAUACUGGCACCAUCUGAAUGCUCACGAAUAAGGGAUAACAUGACUGUGCAUAGCAGAUGAGUCAAAAACCCAGAGCUUUUGCUUAUGGUAUUUUUUGUUGUUACAUUUGCACCCUGCCAGCUGUUGAUCUUUCUAAUGUGCUGCUUAGCAGUCAGGCUUUGCUCCCUCUUGCUUAAUGAACUAUGUGAGAAAUCACAGGCCAGGGGCUGCUUUUAAAGCUAGUAGUGAUGGUCCGUAAAGAAGAAAUCCCCUGGACCACUAGAGCUGGAGACCUAGCAGCACUGUUGUCAGAGAUGAUAGAGAAAAAAAGGUGAUGGAAGAGUUCUUGUUUCACCCUUGAUGUACUUAUACCUCUUGGAUAUAAGCGUUGAAGUUAAAUCGCGAGAGUUAUUGCACAUGCUGUGGGACUGAAAAGGAUUUGUGCUCUUGUGAAACAGGCCACUCUUCCCCCAGAAAACCUUGUAUCCCAGUAAACAUCACCUAAUGGUGAGCAUAUGGCAGAGCACAGGCACAUGGACAUGCUCUCCACACCCUGUUGUAGAUGAUCCCCAACUAUAGUGCUUGAUGAGCAUGGCUUCAGGUCCAGGAAAGGUGUUUUAGGUUUGGAAACCACCGUUCUUACUAAUAUCUUGGAGAAUGGGCAGUGUGAGCUGCCCUCAGCUCUGCAUGCAAACGUGCCUAUGAGGGGGUUCAUGGGCAGUCAACAUGAGUCUGUACCAUUGCCUGCAGGGAGUGCUCACUGAGCAGCGAUGGCUGGGUACGUGCUGGAUGAUUCUUUCCCUCUGGUAGGCAGCUACAGCUUUGCAGCAGCCAGCAGCUUGCUGCCAGCAGACUGCCUCAUUCUCAUUCAAGAGCUGAAGCCGAGGAUGCUGCCAGCUCACUCCUGUUGCAGGGGCUUCAGGAAGAGAUGCGUUUCCCCUGAAGCCCUUUCUCAAACAUGUUAGCCCUCUGUUUUGUGGAGCCAGCUCGCUCCAUCCUCUGCCUCCUGCUUCUCCUUUUGUUGGCUUUGGGAUUUCUCGUGGACCCUCCGCUCCCCCUUCCAAGCACCUCUUGGUUAUUAAAAUGCAGCUCAGGAUAGUUCACUUUGCCUGGUACAUUAUCAUUCCUCGUUAGAGACCCCUCCAGGGCCUGUGAUAUGCCUGCACUGACUUUAUAAUUACAAAGUCAAUUUCUAAACAGACAUUUGCAAAUAAGUCAAUUUAAAUACCGAGAUUUGCAAACAAUAAUUAAGCAGUAGCUUCUUUUUUAAUAUCUAUAUAUAUAAUUAAUGCCCAUGGGCUUUCAUUUUACCUUGCGACUGUGUAGCUUGCAAUUGUUUGUUGAACUGAACCAUUCUCAGAAAGCAAAUCAAAUCACUGAUGGGUUUUAAAGCUGUUUUAAGAGAAUGCCCUACCUCCCCCUACCUCAUUCCACUCCAGCUCCAUGAGCCAUUUCUUAGGCAGUCCCCAGUCCAGCCAGCAGCUAUAGGGAGCAACUGAGCUGGGGCUUUUUCCCCUUCAGUGUAAGGAUGGUGACCUGAUCUGCCAAAAUAUAUUCAACACCACAACAGACUGGGGAAGACUGUGUUAAAGAAGCUGAGCAAUAAAAGUAGUCUGCAAGAAUGAGGAAAAAUGCAUUCUGGAGCAGAAGAUGAGCAUAGUCUAUCUGGGGUCUCCUCCAGGGUUAUGCAGUGAGAGGGCUCAUGCUAUGAGCAGUGUUAAGAGAGGAGCAAAUGGGUCCAGGAGAAGGAGGAAUCUCUCCUUUACUUUGGGACAGGUCCUCACAUUGUUCCAUGUCACCGUGCUAUGGGACCACGGGAUGUUGAGGCAUGAAUAGGUGAUCCUAGACAUAGAGAGGUGAAACAGAGGGUUGGUUGCAUUUCUUGUUAGGAGGCUCCCAGGUUUCCAUCCUGAUGCUCUCCAUAGUUGCUGCAGCACUGUCCCUUGGUAAGCCUUGUUACCUCCAAGCCUAUUCCCA